rnacentral:lncRNA from 1 species
AUGAGUCGAACAAAAGUUGUUUCCAUUAUUUUGCAUGACUCUGCUAGGGCAAGAAAGGGAGAGAAGGGAGAAGAGAGGUGCCUUGGGGUCUUGACACGUGGUGGGGAGGAUCAGAGCCUCCACAUGGGGAGUGAUGACUGUCCUUGGCUCACCAGUCACAUCUACGCAGUGCCUCCUUGCUCAGACGGAUACUUCGGACAUCUGCUUUACAGAUGGGUAUUCUCACUCUCCCACUUGGGGGACUGGGGUGCGUGGGAACUCCUUAAUCGAAGUUUGCGGGGCUUGGUAGGUAACACACGUAGGCACCUGAGAGGGACCAAGAGGAGGAGAGGAGCUGCUAGUUUUGCACCCAAGCAGUAUCUGCGGGAUGUUUGCUGCCCCAGCCUUGUGCUGCUGGGUGAGAGGCCUGCACUAACCGUAAGCACACCUCUUUUGUAUUCUGUUUCCCCUUUAAAGACAUCUGAUGCCUCCAAUGAAGAAAAGCCAACAACAGCAAAGCCUGAUGGAGAGCAUGCAGCCUGGGAAGCCCAGCGACUGGGAGAUGGAGGGCAGAAAGCACGAGAGGCCGGAGAGCCUCCUGGCGCCGGCGCAGUUCUGUGCCGCCGAGCAGGACGUGAAGGCGCUCGCCGGGCCCCUGCAGGCCAUCCCCGAGAUGGACUUCGAGCCCUCGCCGGCCGAGCCGCCGGGCCACGUGGAGCGCUCCCUGCGCGCCCCGGCCGAGCUCCUGCCCGACGCGCGCGGCUACGUGCCCGCGGCCUACGAGGAGUUCGAGUACGGCGGCGAGAUCUUCGCGCUGCCCGCGCCCUACGACGAGGAGCCCUUCCAAGCCCCGGCGCUCUUCGAGAACUGCUCGCCCGCCUCUUCCGAGUCCAGCCUGGACAUCUGCUUCCUCCGGCCCGUCAGCUUCGCCAUGGAAGCCGAGCGGCCCGAGCACCCGCUGCAGCCGCUGCCCAAGAGCGCCACGUCGCCGGCGAGCAGCAGCGGCGCCUACAAGCUGGAGGCGGCGGCGCAGGCGCAGGCGCACGGCAAGGCCAA